ACUGAAUGGGCUAGGGCAUACACCAAUGUACCAAACCCUAUCAAACUCCGAAUACUUAUAGCGUAACCACGGCAGUCAGGCGGCGAGUGAUAAAAUCCGUCGUCAAGAGGGAAACAACCCGGACUAACAGCUAAGGUCCCCAAAUCUCAUUUAAGUGGAAAACGAUGUGAAGUUACUGAAACAACCAGGAGGUUGGCUUAGAAGCAGCCAUCCUUUAAAGAUAGCGUAAUAGCUCACUGGUCUAGUGAUUUUGCGCGGAAAAUAUAACGGGGCUAAAAUGAGUACCGAAGCUUUAGACUUGCACUUAAUCAUUUAUACUAGCUCGUCUUUUGGCGAUAAAUUAAUGAGUUCGAUUUUUUCUCAAUCGAUAGGCUAAAAGCCUUAUCUCAAUCGAAAAAAUCUUCACAACAUUAAUUUCUCAUCCAAAAUACUUCGCUUUCUAUAUUCAAAUUUUAAAGAUUUCGAACUUUGUUAAUUUUAAAAUUUUUAGAAUUUUAAAAUCCCAACUUAGAUAUUUAAAAUUUAACAACCAAGAGGCGAAGAAAGACAAACAAAACUUUAAGAUAUCGGAUAAAUUCUUAAAUAUCUUAAGUUUUAAAUUUGAACAAAGCCGUAAGAAAAGUAUAAAUCAUUAAGUGCAAGUGGUAGGAGAGCGUUCCAAUCAGCGUCGAAGCCGUACCGGUAAGGAGCGGUGGAGCGGUUGGAAGUGAGCAUGCAGGCAUGAGUAGCGAUAAAAUACGUGAGAAUCGUAUUCGCCGUAAACCCAAGGUUUCCUACGCGAUGCUCGUCAUCGUAGGGUUAGUCGGGUCCUAAGCAAAGUCCGAAAGGGGUAUGCGAUGGAAAAUCGGUUAAUAUUCCGAUACCGAUAUCAGUGUGCGACGGAAGGACGCUUAAAGUUAGUGGAGCUAGCGGAUGGAAGUGCUAGUCUAAGGAAGUAGGUUGAGUUAUAGGCAAAUCCGUAACUCUUUAUCCGAGAUCUGAAAGGCUUCUGACGCUCUUCGGAGUAGAUGAAGAAUCCAUGAUACUAUCGAGCCGAGAAAAGUUUCUAAGUUUAGCUGAUAUCGCCCGUACCGUAAACCGACACAGGUGGGUGGGAUGAGUAUUCUAAGGCGCGUGGAAGAACUCUCUUUAAGGAACUCUGCAAAAUAGCACCGUAUCUUCGGUAUAAGGUGUGCCUAGCUUCGUUAAGAAUUUACUUCGUAAGCGAAGAAGGUUACAACAAAGAGUCCCUCCCGACUGUUUACCAUAAACACAGCACUCUGCUAACUCGUAAGAGGAUGUAUAGGGUGUGACGCCUGCCCGGUGCUCGAAGGUUAAUUGAUGAUGUUAGCUUAUGCAAAGCAUCUGAUCGAAGCCCGAGUAAACGGCGGCCGUAACUAUAACGGUCCUAAGGUAGCGAAAUUCCUUGUCGGUUAAAUACCGACCUGCAUGAAUGGCGUAACGAGAUGGGAGCUGUCUCAAAGAGGGAUCCAGUGAAAUUGUAGUGGAGGUGAAAAUUCCUCCUACCCGCGGCAAGACGGAAAGACCCCGUGGACCUUUACUAUAGCUUGACACUGCUACUUGGAUAAAGAUGCGCAGGAUAGGUGGGAGGCUUUGAGUCGUAGAUCUCGGUUUACGAUGAGCCAUUGUUGAGAUACCACUCUUCUUUAUUCGGGUAGCUAACUAGCCUAAGUUAUCCUUAGGUAGGACAAUGUCUGGUGGGUAGUUUGACUGGGGCGGUCGCCUCCCAAAAUGUAACGGAGGCUUACAAAGGUUGGCUCAAAGCGGUUGGAAAUCGCUUGCAGAGUAUAAAGGCAAAAGCCAGCUUAACUGCGAGACAUACACGUCGAGCAGAGACGAAAGUCGGUCUUAGUGAUCCGGUGGUUCUGUGUGGAAGGGCCAUCGCUCAAAGGAUAAAAGGUACCCCGGGGAUAACAGGCUGAUCUCCCCCAAGAGCUCACAUCGACGGGGAGGUUUGGCACCUCGAUGUCGGCUCAUCGCAUCCUGGGGCUGGAGCAGGUCCCAA
rnacentral:rRNA from 1 species